rnacentral:lncRNA from 1 species
ACAGAGCCCUAUUUGGGAUCAGCCUGUUCAACUUUUGCUCUUUUUGCUGCUCACAGGGAAGAGGGUGCAGAGCAAUCAGAAAAUCUGCACAAGAAGAAAAUGAAGCCAGCACUUUCAUUGAGAAGUUUGGAGCAGGCCCUUCUUUGCACCUGCCAUCUCUGUGCAGACAGAUACCUGUGGCCUGGAAAUGGGAGGUUGUCAAUGGACCUUUGACCCCUGACCAGCAGACAAAGGUUUUCAACU